rnacentral:rRNA from 1 species
AGUGAACGCUGGCGGUAGGCCUAACACAUGCCAGUCGAACGGCAGCACAGUAAGAGCUUGCUCUUACGGGUGGCGAGUGGCGGACGGGUGAGGAAUACAUCGGAAUCUACUUUUUCGUGGGGGAUAACGUAGGGAAACUUACGCUAAUACCGCAUACGACCUACGGGUGAAAGCAGGGGAUCUUCGGGCCUUGCGCGAUUGAAUGAGCCGAUGUCGGAUUAGCUAGUUGGCGGGGUAAAGGCCCACCAAGGCGACGAUCCGUAGCUGGUCUGAGAGGAUGAUCAGCCACACUGGAACUGAGACACGGUCCAGACUCCGACGGGAGGCAGCAGUGGGGAAUAUUGGACAAUGGGCGCAAGCCUGAUCCAGCCAUACCGCGUGGGUGAAGAAGGCCUUCGGGUUGUAAAGCCCUUUUGUCGGGAAAGAAAAGCAGCAGGUUAAUACCCCGCUGUUCUGACGGUACCCAAAGAAUAAGCACCGGCUAACUUCGUG